GGGGCCCGGAUGUGCCGCCGCUUUUUAGUUUCUGAGGCGCCGGCGGUGUUCCUGGUAGCGUCAGCCUCCUGGCUUUUCCUUUUCCUGGACGCUUCAGGGCUCCGCGGCCUGCGCUAGACUGGAGGGUCCGCGUCACUCUCGCCCUCCUGCUUUCCGCGCUCUCACCCGCUCCCGCCUCCUGAGGGCACGACUUGUGGAGGAGCGCGGGCGGCGGGGCGUGAGCGAGCUGCCUCUGCCGCCAUCUUAGAGAAGGCGAGCGUGGGGUGUGCGUGGGCGCGAGUCGGCCUCCCGCGGUGCCGCCGCAGCGUGGCGCGGAGAGGCAGGGGCAUCCAGUGGUUCAAGGUUACAAUAAGCUGUGAUCGUGCCACUGCAUUCUACCUGGGAUGACAGAGUGGGACCCUGUGCCACAGAGUGAGACCCUGUCUCAAAAAAAAAAAAACUAUGUAAAUCCAAGAAAAAAAGAAAACAGCUCCUGUUGCCUUUUGCCUCUCAUCCAGAAAGGUAUCCAUUUGCCUUUCUAAUAUCUCUUCAUCCUGUCAGGCCACAAAUGGUGAGUCCUUCUAUCUCUGAGGAGUUGCUGACACUGAGUUUCUGUUUAAAGAAAACUGUAAGAAGGUUAUAUCCUAGAACUGAUCCAGGAUAUCACCUCCUGGCUUAAAAUAUUUGAAAACUCCCUUCUUAGUUGUGAAUCCGUUUACUUAUCAGUAUUUGUCAUUCCCAUGUAUUCAUAAGGCAACAUGCUAGAAACCACAGUGGAUGCAAAAA
rnacentral:lncRNA from 1 species